AUCUGACCCUUUGGGGUCCGAGUUGUAAUUUGCAGAGGGUGUUUCGGGCACGGUGCCGGUUUAAGUCCUUUGGAACAGGGUGUCAUAGAGGGUGAGAACCCCGUAUGCGACCGGUCGCCAAACCCGUGUGAAACCCCUUCGACGAGUCGAGUUGUUUGGGAAUGCAGCUCAAAAUGGGUGGUAAAUUUCAUCUAAAGCUAAAUACUGGCCAGAGACCGAUAGCGCACAAGUAGAGUGAUCGAAAGAUGAAAAGCACUUUGGAAAGAGAGUCAAACAGCACGUGAAAUUGUUGAAAGGGAAGCGCUUGCGACCAGACCUGCUCGCGGGUGAUCAGCGGUGCUUUUCGCGCCGUGCACUCGUCCGCGAUCAGGCCAGCAUCGGUUCAGGCGGCCGGACAAAGACUCGGAGAAUGUAGCUCCCUCCGGGGAGUGUUAUAGCUCCUUGUGCAAUACGGCCAGCCGGGACCGAGGACCGCGCUUCGGCUAGGAUGCUGGCGUAAUGGUUGUAAGCGACCCGUCUUGAAACACGGACCAAGGAGUCUAACAUCUGUGCGAGUGUUUGGGCGUUAAACCCAUGCGCGCAAUGAAAGUGAACGUGAGGUGGGAACCCUCUCGGGGGCGCACCAUCGACCGAUCCAGAUGUCUUCGGAUGGAUUUGAGUAAGAGCACAGCUGUUGGGACCCGAAAGAUGGUGAACUAUGCCUGAAUAGGGUGAAGCCAGAGGAAACUCUGGUGGAGGCUCGCAGCGGUUCUGACGUGCAAAUCGAUCGUCAAAUUUGGGUAUAGGGGCGAAAGACUAAUCGA
rnacentral:rRNA from 1 species